rnacentral:rRNA from 1 species
UACGUAGGGUGCAGGCGUUAAUCGGAAUUACUGGGCGUAAAGCGUGCGCAGGCGGUCUGCUAAGAGAGAUGUGAAAUCCCCGGGCUUAACCUGGGAACUGCGUUUCUAACUGGCAGGCUUGAGUGUGGCAGAGGGGGGUGGAAUUCCACGUGUAGCAGUGAAAUGCGUAGAGAUGUGGAGGAACACCGAUGGCGAAGGCAGCCCCCUGGGCUAACACUGACGCUCAUGCACGAAAGCGUGGGGAUCAAACAGG